UACGAAGGGGGCUAGCGUUGCUCGGAAUCACUGGGCGUAAAGCGUACGUAGGCGGCUUACUAAGUCAGGGGUGAAAUCCUGGAGCUCAACUCCAGAACUGCCUUUGAUACUGGUGAGCUUGAGUUCGGGAGAGGUGAGUGGAACUGCGAGUGUAGAGGUGAAAUUCGUAGAUAUUCGCAAGAACACCAGUGGCGAAGGCGGCUCACUGGCCCGAUACUGACGCUGAGGCACGAAAGCGUGGGGAGCAAACAGG
rnacentral:rRNA from 1 species